GAUCUCUUUGAGGCCCGUUAUCGGAAUGAGAACAAUUCAAAUCCUUUAACGAGGAUCUAGCGGAGGGCAAGUCUGGUGCCAGCAGCCGCGGUAAUUCCAGCUCCGCAGGUGUAUAUCUAUGCUGCUGCGGUUAAAAAGCUCGUAGUUGGAUCUGCGUGCUCGGAACUGGUUGGCUCACUGAGUUCAAACUGGUCUCCGGCGCUUUAUUGGCUGGUUUUCCCUUGAUGCUCUUAACCGGGUGUCUUGGGUGGCUAGCACGUUUACUUUGAAAAAAUUAGAGUGCUCAAUACAGGCGUAAAGCCUUGAAUAGUGGUGCAUGGAAUAAUAGAAUAGGACCUCGGCUCUAUUUUGUUGGUUUUCGGAACGCGAGGUAAUGAUUAAGAGGGACAGACGGGGGCAUUCGUAUUGCGACGUUAGAGGUGAAAUUCUUGGAUCGUCGCAAGACGGACGACUGCGAAAGCAUUUGCCAAGAAUGUUUUCAUUAAUCAAGAACGAAAGUUAGAGGUUCGAAGGCGAUCAGAUACCGCCCUAGUUCUAACCGUAAACGAUGCCAACUAGCGAUUCGCAGGCGUUAAACAACGACCUUGCGGGCAGCUUCCCGGAAACGAAAGUGUUCGGGUUCCGGGGGAAGUAUGGUUGCAAAGCUGAAACUUAAAGGAAUUGACGGAAGGGCACCACCAGGAGUGGAGCCUGCGGCUUAAUUUGACCCAACACGGGAAAACUCACCCGGCCCGGACACCGUAAGGAUUGACAGAUUAGAGCUCUUUCUUGAUUCGGUGGGUGGUGGUGCAUGGCCGUUCUUAGUUGGUGGAGCGAUUUGUCUGGUUUAUUCCGAUAACGAACGAGACUCUGGCCUACUAAAUAGUGGGCGGAUUCUUUCUGUCCGCAACACUUCUUAGAGGGACAAGCGGUGUUCAGCCGCACGAGAUUGAGCAAUAACAGGUCUGUGAUGCCCUUAGAUGUCCGGGGCUGCACGCGCGCUACACUGAAGGAAUCAGCGUGCUUUCUGACCUUGCCCGAAAGGGCUGGGUAACCCGAUGAAAAUCCUUCGUGAUUGGGAUAGGGACUUGCAAUUAUUUCCCUUGAACGAGGAAUUCCCAGUAAGUGUGGGUCAUAAGCUCGCGUUGAUUACGUCCCUGCCCUUUGUACACACCGCCCGUCGCUGCCCGGAACUGAGCCGUUUCGAGAAGAACAGGGACCGUCGUUGAAGGGCCUUAACGGGCUUUUCUCUGAUAGAAACUGUU
rnacentral:rRNA from 1 species